rnacentral:rRNA from 1 species
AUGAAAACUGUGGUCGUGGGCUCCGAAUUGGUGGAGGGGGAGAGCUGGGGAGGGCAACUGAAAACAAGAACGCUUCUAUAUCAGGAUCAAUUCCGCGGCCGAAUGUCUAGGCCAUCCAAACAUAUUCGGGAUGGCAGAUACCAAUGCCGACUUCCAGCCUUGAAUGCCUACAUCCAAACACAACGUCGAUUGCUCACCGGACCGAAGCUCAUCCUCGAGGUCCUCGGGUGCAGUGCCCACGGGGAAACGGGUAUUGCCGGUGGAGCGAAGUACGCCGCGUCGGACGAAGAUAUCCAGGGUGGCCGGAUCACCCUCGCCCUCCACCAGCUCGUCGUCGACAUCACCGAGCUGGUCCUCGCCGCCCCUGCGGUGGCUGUUCUGGACACCGCUUGGCUCCUCGUGGGUGGCCUCCCUGACAUUACCCGGUCCGAGCUCGUCAUCCGCCAGAUGUCCCGGAUUCUGGGCAAGCUGGUGGUGGUCGACGAGCUCUCCCUCCGCAAGGAGGAGGAGGUCCGGGUCAAGGUCAAGUGUUUAGACUCCUCCAAGCUCCACGUCAUCGUCCGUGUUUUCUUCAACGACCGGGGCUACGACCUCCGCAUCGCCCCCAAGCCCCCCAACCACGUCGGCCGCCCCCGCUUCACCGACGAUGGGCCCCCCGACGGCAACCCGGGAGCCGGGGGGGACUACCACGGCAGACACCGCCCCCGCUCCUGCAGGUCAAAGGACGGGGAGGGUUCGGAUGACUCGGCCUCCAGGUCGCAGUCCCGAUCGCCUUUGCCUCCGGCCGAUGGGGGGCAUGGGCGCCAGGCCGCGCCGGGUCCCUCCCUUGAGGCCCCCCUCGAUCCUAUGGUUGUGUCUCCUGCCGCUAGCGACGCCUCCAGUGUGGGCUUGGUCGUCUGCCCCGCCUCCUCCCCACGCUCCCCGGUCUCCGCCGCUCCAGCCGGGCCGGUCCUGGACAUGGGCAUCCUCCCUACAGGCUCGGUGUUCCAGGACCGCCCCCCGCUCGACGUCGGCCGCCUCGCCACCUUCGGCCGCGGCACCCUUGCCGUCCCCGGCCCUGCCUGUGGCCCGGACGUAUCUCGUCACCGACUCGGCCCCACCGCCGUCUUCCCCGACACCGAUGCCAUCGUCGUCUUCCACUCCGACCCCGAUGCUUCAGAUACUCCCCGCUGCGGUCUCGGGCCUGGACCGGGAGUCCUAGGUGACCACCCCCUGGCUGCCCCGCCUCCGCCUCCACGCGUCGUGGCCUUCUCUCGGUGCGCCCGUUCGGCCUCCUCUCCGGCGACUGCUUCUCGCCGGAGUGCUCGGCUGGACGCGGCGCGCCCGGAGGGUUGCCCGGUGCUGCCUAUCCGUGAGCGGGCUGAGCUUCGUGCCGCUGCACGGAACCUGGAGCCAGGUACCCCUUCAGUCCCUCCCUCGACAGCUACUUGUUCCUUCUCUGCUCUUGAGUCGGUUCCGCUUGGAAACCUUGUGAAGAUCGCGACUGACUCCGCGAUCAUCUUUAGGGGGGAGGUCGGCCCCCCCUUAGCUCGGAUCGAGGCCAUUAGGGCCCGCGAGAUCCUCGACGGCCGCCCCCUCCUUGUGGGAUUUGUGGAAUUCCCCCCUGACCGCUGCCGAGCUUCGGGGUCGUACCCGUUCUCGGACGGCCGCUCUCCAUGCCCAAAGCGCAUCUCGUGUCCUGGGGUCAAGCAGCCCCUCAAUGGUUGCAUGAUGCGUGCCCUCUUCUGGAACAUCCGCGGUUUCGGCCAUGAUGGCCGCCGCCGCCAACUCAUCGAGUACAUUUGUGACGAGCACAUUGACAUUGUGGCCAUCCAGGAGACUAUGCGUACGGAUUUCUCUCUCCCGGAGCUUGACCGCCUGAGCUCCCACCUUUUCGCCUGGCAUUGGCUCCCUUCUAGUGGGACCGCGGGCCAUUCCGGUGGCAUCCUAUUAGGUGUGAAGGACGCCACAUUCGAGGUGGGGAGUAUGGACCGGGGUCAGUUCUUUGUUAGCAUGGAGAUUUUUGAACGCUCCCUGAACUUCAAGUGGGAGGAGCUUCACCGGAAGGUGUCGGCGGCAUCGCUGCCUGUUGUUGUAGGGGGUGACUUUAAUCUCCUUAGGUUUGCGGAGGACAAGAUCAAUGCCAACAUCAACUUUGGCCUUAUGCAAAUGUUCAACGACUGCAUUGCUGAUCUUGGCCUCUGUGAGAUCGACCGGGUUGGUGCCAGGUUCACCUGGACCAACCGUCAGGCUGCCCCGACCCAGUCCGUUCUGGACUGGGUCCUAGUUUCCCCGGAAUGGGACCUUCGCUGCUCCCUCACCUCCCUCCGGGCCAUCACUCGGAUUGGCUCUGACCAUGUCCCCCUCCUUCUCUCUUCCGCUGAUGAACGCCCCCCGGUUCCACCUCGUUUCCGGUUUGAGACAUUUUGGCUGUCCCAAGCUGGCUUCAUCAACGCAGUCGGCCCGCGUGGCCGACAGUUCAUGAAAGGGUGGGGCGCCAACCUGGGGCGUGACCUCCGCGAGCGUAAGAAGGCUCUUCUGUUUGCGAUCCAAGCCUUGGAUCUUCGUGCAGACACUAUCGACCUCUCCCCCGAGGAGUGGCUCUCCCGCUACGGCUUGGAGGAUCAGCUCUCUAUCAUUUACACGGAUGAAGAGGCCUACUGGAGGUUGUGCGGGGCUCAGAAAUGGGUCCUGAAGGGUGACACGAAUACGGCUUACUUCCAAGCCAUCGUGAAUGGCCGUCGCAGGCGCAACACCAUCCCCCUCCUUUGGGAUGGCACGACCCUCCUGCAAUCCCCGCGGGACAUUAGGUUCCACGUCGAUGGCUUCUAUAGGUCCCUGUUCAUAGCCGCUCCACGGAGCGGCUUAUCCCUGGACCCUGGUUGUUGGUCCGGUCGCCAACUUGUUUCCGAGCCUGAGAACGCGGCUCUUAUGCCCCCCUUCUCUGAGGACGAGAAGUAUCAUAUGGUUAAUUGGUCCGACAUCUACAAGCCCCGGGAGCAGGGAGGCCUUGGCAUCAUGUGCUCGAAGCGCAUGAACAUUGCCCUCCUUUCCCGCUGGCUCUGGUGCAUCUCUCAAGGGCAUGGCGGUCUGUGGCUAGACAUCAUCCAAAAUAAAUACUUGCGUGGCCAACCUCUGGCCUUCUGCCAACGGUCGGGCGGGUCCCAGUUCUGGCAGUCGGCCAUCCAACUACUCCCCGUCCUCCGCACUGGGACUUCCAUCUCGGUUGGAUCGGGAGCAGUGACCUUGUUCUGGUUUGACAGAUGGGCUGGUGACGCCCCCUUCACGGCCCGCUUUCCCGACCUCUUCUCCAUCGCAGUCGUCCCUACAAUCUCAGUUCAGCAAGCCCUUAUUGACUUAGGGCGCCUCGCGUUCCGGAGGCCAUUUGGGCCUCCGGAAGUGGCCGCCUGGCAUGAGCUUCUUGAUUGUAUUGCUCUUCAUGAACCGACUGUCGAUGCUGGCCCGGAUGAGGUUCGGUGGCGCCUUGAGCCUUCGGGUCAAUUCUCCACCAAGUCCCUCUACGCGGCUAUCGCCCCUUCCUCCGCCCCGCCGCCCCUCCAGUCGGUUUGGUCCAUUCGCCUGCCCCUUAAAAAUCCGGAUCUUCAUGUGGCAAUGGAUCCGCGAGAGGCGGUUGGUGGGGAUUGGUGCCACUCCAACUUCCCCGACCUCUUCGCCGAAUUACAGGCCUCCCCGCUACCCUCUCGCCACAUUAGGUGGCUUGAGAUUGGGGUUCUCGCGUGGACGUUCUGGACUAUUCACAAUAAACUUGUGAUUCAGCGCUCCCCUCUUCGACGUUCUACUGACGCCCUCUUCAAACUGUCUGGUUACUUGCAACUCUGGCGGCCGCUUAGCCGCUCUCGGGAUCGGGACGCCAUCUCCGCCUUCAUCGCCGACCUCCGCUCGAUGGCCGUCCGCCUGUCGCCGCCCCCUCCGCCGCCUGAUUAG